AUCGUUCAUCCGACCAGCGCAUCUGGACAGGACGGAAGUAAGAGAUAUCUUCUCUGAAGGAACGCGCC
rnacentral:ncRNA from 2 species